CACGUAGUUAGCCGGAGCUUCCUCCUCUGCUACCGUCAUCAUCUUCACAGAGGACAGAGGUUUACAAUCCGAAAACCGUCUUCCCUCACGCGGCGUUGCUGGUUCAGGGUUUCCCCCAUUGACCAAUAUCCCUUACUGCUGCCUCCCGUAGGAGUCUGGGCCGUGUCUCAGUCCCAAUGUGGCCGUCAACCUCUCAGUCCGGCUACCGAUCGUCGGCUUGGUGGGCCGUUACCCCACCAACUACCUAAUCGGACGCGAGCCCAUCCUUUCAGCGGAUUGCUCCUUUGAUUAUCCUACCAUGCGAUAAGAUAAUGUCAUGCGGUUAUUAGUCGUUCGUUUCCAAACGUUACUCCCCCUCUAGAAAGGCAGGUUGCUCACGCGUUACUCACCCGUCCCGCACUAAGAUACUCCAAGAUUCAUUUACCGAAGUUACUUCAUCAGCGAAUUAUCCUCGUUCGACUUG
rnacentral:rRNA from 1 species